rnacentral:rRNA from 1 species
GCAAUAGCUCCAAUUUGAAAGGCUUCGGCAUUGUAAUUCGCAGAAGGAUCUCGAUAACGAACCAAAAGUCUCUUGGAACAGAGCGCCAUAGAGGGUGACAGCCCCGUAACCCCCUUCAUCAUCAUGGAUCCUAUCGAAGAGUCGAGUAGUUUGGGAAUGCUGCUCUAAUGGGAGGUAAAUCCCUCCUAAAGCUAAAUACUUGCCAGAGCCGAUAGCGCACAA